rnacentral:rRNA from 1 species
AAUAUUGUGCACUGGGCGGAAGCCUGACCCAGCCACGCCGCGCGAGUGAUGAAGGCCUUCGGGUUGUAAAGCCCUGUGGGGACGGAAGAAAAAUCCGGGUUCGGAUAUUGCCUGGACUUGACGGUACCUCCUUAUCAAGCACCGGCUAACUCUGUGCCAGCGGCCGCGGUAAGACAGAGGGUGCAAACGUUGCUCGGAAUUACUGGGCGUAAAGGGCGCGUAGGCGGAUUUGGAAGUGGGGUGUGAAAUCCCUGGGCUCAACCUAGGAACUGCAUUCGAAACUCCAAGUCUAGAGUGACGGAGAGGAAAGCGGAAUUCCCGGUGUAGAGGUGAAAUUCGUAGAUAUCGGGAGGAACACCAGAGGCGAAGGCGGCUUUCUGGACGUCCACUGACGCUGAGGCGCGAAAGCGUGGGGAGCAAAC